GAUAAACGCUGGCGGCGCACAUAAGACAUGCAAGUUGAACGGACUUAAUCGAAAUAUUUAUAUUUUGAAGCGGUUAGUGGCGGACUGGUGAGUAACGCGUAAGGAACCUGCCUAUUAGAGGGGAAUAACGGUGAGAAAUCAUUGCUAAUACCGCAUAUGCCAUAGAUAUCACAUGAUAACAGUGGGAAAGGAGCAAUCCGCUAAUAGAUGGCCUUGCGUCUGAUUAGAUAGUUGGUGGGGUAACGGCCUACCAAGUCGACGAUCAGUAGCCGGACUGAGAGGUUGAACGGCCACAUUGGGACUGAGAUACGGCCCAGACUCCUACGGGAGGCAGCAGUCGGGAAUAUUGCGCAAUGGAGGAAACUCUGACGCAGUGACGCCGCGUAUAGGAAGAAGGUUUUCGGAUUGUAAACUAUUGUCGUUAGGGAAGAGAAAGGACAGUACCUAAGGAGGAAGCUCCGGCUAACUACGUG
rnacentral:rRNA from 1 species